rnacentral:rRNA from 1 species
GUCCUGGCUCAGGACGAACGCUGGCGGCGUGCCUAAUACAUGCAAGUAGAACGCUGAAGGAGGAGCUUGCUUCUCUGGAUGAGUUGCGAACGGGUGAGUAACGCGUAGGUAACCUGCCUGGUAGCGGGGGAUAACUAUUGGAAACGAUAGCUAAUACCGCAUAAGAGUAGAUGUUGCAUGACAUUUGCUUAAAAGGUGCAAUUGCAUCACUACCAGAUGGACCUGCGUUG